GGUUUGAGGUGUGGGAUGAGAACACAAGGUUGGGGUUUGAGGUGAGGGAUGAGAGCACAAGGUUGGGGUUUGAGGUGAGGGAUGAGAGCACAAGGUUGGGGUUUGAUGUGUGGGAUGAGAACACGAGGUUGGGUUUGAGGUGUGGGAUGAGAGCAGAAGGUUGGGGUUUGAGGUGUGGGAUGAGAGCAGAAGGUUGGGGUUUGAGGUGUGGGAUGAGAGCAGAAGGUUGGGGUUUGAGGUGUGGGAUGAGCGCAGAAGGUUGGGGUUUGAUGUGUGGGAUGAGAACACAAGGUUGGGGUUUGAGGUGUGGGAUGAGAG
rnacentral:lncRNA from 1 species